AUUGAACGCUGGCGGCAGGCCUAACACAUGCAAGUCGAACGAGUGGCGGACGGGUGAGUAAUGUCUGGGAAACUGCCCGAUGGAGGGGGAUAACUACUGGAAACGGUAGCUAAUACCGCAUACCAUCGGAUGUGCCCAGAUGGGAUUAGCUAGUAGGUGGGGUAAUGGCUCACCUAGGCGACGAUCCCUAGCUGGUCUGCGAGGAUGACCAGCCACACGGGAACGGAGACACGUGCCAGACCCCUACGGGGGGCAGCAGGGGGAAAUAUUGCACAAUGGGGGCAGGCCGGAUGAAGCCAUGCCGGGGGUAUGAAGAAGGCCUUCGGGUUGUAAAGUACUUUCGGCGGGGAGACGGUACUCGCAGAAGAAGCACCGGCAAACUCCGUGCAAGCGGCCGCGGUAAAC
rnacentral:rRNA from 1 species